AAUACCAGCACAGGGAGGUCAACGACAAUCAUGGAGUCAAUGCGAAGGUGAGGGGAGUUUAGUAAAGGUGGGCAGCAACCAGAGAGGAGCCAUUAGGGGGACAUCCGUAAAGAUGAGUAAAGGGGGCAACCUGUGAGCAGCAGCAGCAUUGGCCCGCUAGGAGCCAUUAGGGCCAUCACAGAAACCAGUUGGAAUAUGGCAGCAACCAGUAAGGAGUUAGUAAGGGAGAACAUGCAAUGGAUGACAGCAACCAGUAAGUAAGUGACGGCAACCAUUAAAGUGCUAGCAAGUGAUGGCGUUAAUGGAGUGACAGCAACCAGUAUGGGACAACAUCAGUGAGAGGGGAGCCAUUAUUGUGAUUACAGAAACCAGUAAGGGUUAGUAAAGCAUAACUGGGAAGGGAGGUCAGCAUCCAUCAUGGAGUCAGUAGUAAGGUGAGGGAGAUCAGUAAAGGGGGAGCAGCAAGAAGUAACGAGUCAGUGAGGAGAGCAACCUCAGCAGGAAAGGAACCAUCAGGGUGAUCAGAGUGAAGACUUAGUGAGAGAUAACAGUGAAUGGAGGACAAGGUCCAUCAUGGAGUCAGCAUCAAGGUGAGGGAGAUACGUAAAGGGAGAGCGUUACUGGUUUGACCAGUAUGGAGUCAUUGCAGAGCAAAUUAGGGUGACUGCACCAACCAGUGAAGAUUAAUAAAGGAUAAG